CCUACGGGAGGCAGCAGUGAGGAAUAUUGGUCAAUGGGCGAGAGCCUGAACCAGCCAAGUCGCGUGAGGGAGUACUGCCCUAUGGGUUGUAAACCUCUUUUGUCGGGGAGCAAAAGCCGGACGUGUCCGGCUGUGAGAGUACCCGAAGAAAAAGCAUCGGCUAACUCCGUGCCAGCAGCCGCGGUAAUACGGAGGAUGCGAGCGUUAUCCGGAUUUAUGGGGUUUAAAGGGUGCGCAGGCGGAUUGUUACGUCAGCGGUCAAAUCGUGGGGCUCAACCCCAUCCAGCCGUUGAAACUGGGGAUCUAGAGUGUGCGAGAGGGAUGCGGAAUGCGUGGUGUAGCGGUGAAAUGCAUAGAUAGCACGCAGAACCCCGAUUGCGAAGGCAGCAUACCGGUGCACAACUGACGCUCAGGCACGAAAGCGUGGGUAUCGAACAGGAUUAGAUACCCGAGUAGUC
rnacentral:rRNA from 1 species